AUCUUUGGCUGAAUUCUAAUCCUAUUUUCUGUAACUUCCGGAAAGCUAUGGAGUUCCUGAGCUCAAUCGUGGGUCUGGUCCCCUGCUUCUAUGAUCACACCUCCAAGCACACGGUCUACAUUCGUGAUCUGAGAAAAAAUCUCCAAGCCUUGAGCAAAGAAAUGGUGGAUCUGAACAACUUGUAUGAAGAUGUGAAGGAAAGGGUUGAACGUGCAGAGCAACAACAGAUGAAGCGCAGAAAGGAAGUGGGUGGGUGGAUCCGUGAAGUAGAAGCCAUGGAGAAAGAAGUUCACGAAAUUCUGCAAAGAGGAGAUCAAGAAAUCCAGAAGAGUUGUCUCGGAUGCUGUCCCAGGAAUUGUUGGUCUAGCUACAGAAUUGGAAAGGCAGUAAGUGAAAAGCUGGUUGCUGUAUCUGGUCAAAUCGGCAAAGGACAUUUCGAUGUUGUAGCCGAGAUGUUGCCUCGUCCUCCAGUUGAUGAACUGCCAAUGGAGGCGACUGUGGGCCCACAAUUGGCGUAUGAAAAGAGCUGUAGGUUUCUCAAAGAUCCACAAGUAGGCAUUAUGGGAUUGUAUGGAAUGGGGGGUGUUGGCAAAACCACCCUCUUGAAGAAAAUCAACAAUGAAUUGCUUGCAACAUCCAAUGACUUUGAGGUUGUGAUUUGGGCUGUGGUGUCAAAAUCGCCCGACAUUGAAAAAAUUCAGCAAGUUAUUUGGAAUAAAUUGGAAAUCCCACGUGAUAAAUGGGAAACUAGAAGCAGUAGGGAGGAGAAGGCUGCAGAAAUAUUGAGAGCUUUGAAAAGAAAAAGGUUCAUCUUGUUGUUGGAUGACAUUUGGGAGGAACUUGAUCUCCUGGAAAUGGGGGUCCCGCGUCCAGAUACUGAAAAUAAGUCCAAGAUAGUUUUGACGACCCGUUCACUGGAUGUCUGCCGCCAAAUGAAAGCUCAGAAGAGUAUAGAAGUGGAAUGUUUGGAGUCAGAAGAUGCCUGGACUUUGUUCCGGAAGGAGGUAGGAGAAGAAAUAUUAAAUUCUCAUCCGGAUAUACCGAUGCUUGCAAAAGUUGUUGCUGAAGAGUGCAGAGGUUUACCUCUCGCUCUUGUCACUCUUGGGCGGGCCAUGGCAGCUGAGAAAGAUCCCUCAAACUGGGACAAGGUAAUACAAGAUCUACGCAAAUCUCCAGCUGAAAUCACAGGUAUGGAAGAUAAAUUGUUUCAUCGAUUGAAACUCAGUUAUGAUAGGUUGCGUGACAAUGCUAGCAAAUCUUGUUUUAUAUAUCAUUCCAUCUUCCGAGAGGACUGGGAGAGUUAUAAUUUUCAACUUACAGAACUUUGGAUAGGGGAGGGGUUCAUGGGUGAAGUUCAUGACAUACAUGAAGCACGUGAUCAAGGGAGGAAAAUUAUUAAAACUUUAAAGCAUGCAUGUUUACUGGAGGGUUGUGGUUCAAGAGAAAGAAGGGUUAAGAUACAUGAUGUGAUCCGCGACAUGGCUUUAUGGUUAUAUGGUGAACAUGGGGUGAAAAAGAACAAAAUUCUAGUAUACAAUAAGGUUGCUAGGCUUGAUGAAGAUCAAGAAACUUCCAAAUUGAAAGAAACAGAGAAGAUAUCAUUAUGGGAUAUGGAUGUUGGGAAGUUCCCAGAAACAUUGGUGUGCCCCAAUCUUAAGACUUUAUUUGUGAAAAAAUGUCAUAAUCUGAAGAAAUUUCCAAAUGGAUUCUUUCAAUUCAUGCUUCUACUAAGAGUUUUGGAUUUGUCAAACAAUGAUAAUUUAAGCGAGUUGCCAACUGGGAUUGGUAAAUUGGGUGCCUUGAGAUAUCUUAAUUUGUCAAGUACAAGAAUAAGGGAGUUGUCCAUUGAAAUAAAAAAUUUGAAAAAUCUGAUGAUUUUGCUUAUGGAUGGUAUGGAAUCCCUUGAAAUUAUUCCAAAAGACAUGAUAGCAAGCCUUGUAUCCUUGAAGUUGUUCUCUUUUUACAAAUCCAAUAUUACAAGUGGAGUUGAAGAAACCUUAUUGGAGGAGUUGGAGUCCUUGAAUGACAUUAGUGAGAUAUCAAUCACCAUAUGCAAUGCUCUUUCAUUCAACAAACUAAAGAGUAGUCACAAAUUACAAAGGUGCAUUUGUUGUCUACAUUUACAUAAAUGGGGGGAUGUGAUCUCACUUGAACUAUCAUCUUCAUUUUUUAAAAGAAUGGAACAUUUGAAGGCGCUUUAUGUAAGCCAUUGCGACAAAUUGAAAGAAGUGAAAAUUAAUGUGGAAAGACAAGGGAUACACAAUGAUAUGACUCUUCCAAACAAAAUUGCAGCAAGGGAGGAAUACUUCCACACCCUUCGUUAUGUGGAUAUAGAACAUUGUUCAAAAUUGUUAGACUUAACAUGGCUUGUUUAUGCUCCAUAUCUUGAACAUCUUCGCGUUGAAGAUUGUGAAUCGAUAGAAGAAGUGAUACAAGAUGAUAGUGAAGUCCGUGAAAUGAAGGAAAAAUUGAACAUAUUCUCAAGGCUCAAAUACCUCAAGCUCAAUAGGCUGCCAAGAUUGAAGAGCAUCUAUCAGCAUCCGCUACUCUUUCCCUCUCUUGAAAUCAUCAAGGUGUAUGAAUGCAAAGACUUAAGGAGCCUCCCGUUUGAUUCCAACACUUCAAAUAAAAGUCUGAAGAAAAUUAAAGGAGAGACAAGUUGGUGGAAUCAGUUGAAGUGGAACGAUGAAACUUGCAAGCACUCUUUUACUCCGUAUUUCCAAAUCCAUGAAGUUGAAGCAUAUUUAACAGACUCUGAGGAGUCUGAAAUUGGCAGCUUAGAUGAUGUUCAAGAACAACCAGUAUCAAAUUAAUUUCUAUCAAUCUUUCAGGUAUUAAUUAACUUUUAUGCUAUAUUUGGAAAAUCAUUUUCUUUCUUUAAUCCCAUUCUUUUGUGGAAAUUUUUACUUUAUCUAUGCCAAAGUGCAUCAAAGUCUCAACAACAUAAUAACUUUCAAUGUUUGAUCUAUCAAGUUUGCCCCUUUUGAAGUAACUGUUAGAAAGUUUGCCCAGAAGGGACUUUGAAGGAGGUCUUUUAUUUAAACAUCUAAUGACAUUUCCUUUUGGUUAUUUGAGAAGUUGAAAAUAUGCAGAGUUCUCAACUAUAUUACUUAUUUUGUCUUAAUUUUUUCGAUUCAUUUCAAUCUAUAAACAGAAAGAGAAUACCUAAUUUCAACUUAACUCCUUAUAUUUCAUGUUGAAACAACAGGUGUUGCACAACAAUUAUAGGUAAAGAUAUUCCAUUAAGAAUUCUCGCUUUGUUUAAUGCAUUUACCAGGACCAACUAUAGUAAUUUCUCUUCUUUUGUUCAGUUGCCUCUAUCUGGUUGACUCUCAGUUGUUUUUUCCUUUUUUUUUUUCUUUUCUUUUAUCUAUUUCAUUCAGAGUUGGGGCUUGUUCUAGAAGGUCUGUCAACAGCUGGGAUUCAAUAGGCUGUAUCUAGUGGAGCCUUGAGUUUUUUGGUUGGAUGCAUAAUAGGGUCUUGUUCUACCCGUUCUUACUCAGUUGGGAUCUGAGCUUCUUCGACUGCUUCUGUUUCGUCCUGCUCUUUUUCCUUCUAAUUGGUAUAGACGUGAGCUGGAUUAUGUUGGCUUGCUGGUCUGGGUUUCUGAUAUGCUUGGUGGUGGUGUGCUGAUUCUCAGAGCAUCGCUAUUCAUGGUGCUCAGUCUGCUGGGAAAGUUGCUUAAUGUCCAGAUGCCGGGGCUCUUCUCGGCAGGCUUUGGUUGGGAUCCAUGUGUUUGCUGGAAUUGGAUUCUGUGGGUUGCCUUUGGCUUUUGAUGUAGGCUGGGUUUGUUUUCUUUGUUGAGACUGGUGGAGUAUGGUGGCUCAGAAGCUGCUAGUAAUCUGUCUGUUGUAUGCUGAGGCUGGAAUCUUCAUGGUGGUUGCUCUGCUGGGUCUAUAUAAUAUGUGAAUGCUUUUGCCUUUUUGAGUCCUUGGGCGUCAGCUGGUUGCUUGUGUUUCCUCUGCGCUUUAGUUCAUAUACCAGAGUGCAUACUUCCUUGAGUUCCAUAUCCCACUGCCAAGUGUGUUGUCCAUGAUGUGUAAAGCAGUUAAUUUGUAUACCUGGCCUUCAGUUCCUCUCUAGAUAACUUUGAACUCUCUUUAUGAAUGAAAUGUUGUGAGAAAAACUGGAGUUGAUUUUCACAUUUGAGGUCGUUAAUGGUGAUUUUUCUUAAUGUAAUUGUGAUGGAAAAGAAAUUUGAUCAAGGAGUCGAAACCAUAAGCAGAGUCGAUCUCAUUCAACAUUGCAUUAUAAUUUGGUACCCCUCACAGAUCGCUCCAAAUAGCAUUGGAAAGUACUUUCAUUUUCCUUCAGUGGAGGCUUCUUUUUCUUUGCUGGUUAAUAUUCAUAGCUUCAGUGCUUGAUAAAAUUUCGUUACUUGACAUUGUUCACUCUUGUCCCUCCUGCUCUAAUCACAAACAAAUGCCCCAAUAAAUAAGAAUGAUUUGUUCAAGAAAUUUGAAAAUACUUGAACAAUAAAAGAAAAGAAUAGGAGAGAAAGGAAAAGAAAUUCAGAAAGCAAAUACUUGGUAGUUUCCAUUUCAAUUAACCGAUCUUUGAAACUAAAAUGUAAUUCUUGCAGUAGAAUAAAAGAAGACACGCAACAUCUUGAGAAGAUUCAUCUAAUGGAACAUACCAUGCUACAAUUGGCAACUGAGACUAAAUAGUAGUUUUUGGUAGAAUAGAUAUCGCAUGCCAAAAAGAAUGUCUUGUAGCUCUGACUACUUCAAAAUUCUUGUACGUAUAGCCCACAAAGCUUUCGAGAUCAUACUUGUUUAUUCAGGCCUGUUUGAACAUACGACCCUAGCGGAAGAUCUUACAACUUUAGGAGUUCAUAGUGUCCAUGAAAUCACAGGAAAAGAAAAGGAUAUAUAGUCAAGUUCAUGAAAAAUAAAGAGAUGGCUUAUUAAAGUUCACAAAUCUGGACAUCUAAAACACUUUAAUUGUGUUUGGUUGAGUCUCCAUUUAUUUGGCAAUUCCCAUCAAGUCUAAUGAUUGACCACCGAUGACUUGAAAAUCGAAGCAUUGGAUGUGCCGCAUGUAGUUGAUGUUGCAUUAUUGAGGGUGGUUAUAUUAUAAAUUAAAUAGACAUGAUAAGAGCAUGAGUUAUAGAUUACCCGAUCCUGACUUGUCUCAUUUAUAUUAAUCUAUUCUCAUUCCUAUCCUAACAAAAAAUUUUAAAUGAGGAUGGAUGGAUAUGAGAAUUUCUCAUCUUAUACCAUUUAUUUAUUUAUUUUAGUUUUUUAACAAUUAAAAAUAAAAAUAUUUUAUAAAUAAAUAAAAUUUAUAAAUUUUAUAACUUAUUUUAUUUAAAUAUAUAAUUAUUUCAUGUGUUCAAAAGAAGAAAAUGAAAAACAAUAAAUUAAAUUAAUUUUAAAUUUAAUUAUACGGCUUGGAAAGUAGUGGGUUAGUACAAGGCAUAUCUUGAACCCUGCCCCUAACCAACCCUAGUUUUAAAACAAAAAAAAAUGUUGAAUUUGUAUCUAAUCAAUUUAUUUUCAUUUAAACUUGUCUUCUUGAAGUAAGUAUUUGAAAAAACUAGUCUCAUUAUCAUCUUUAAUCAUAAUUUUUUUUAAUUUAAAUUUAGAUACCAACAAACAUUUAAAUUAAAUUAAAAAUUCUUAUGCAAACAAGGGCUUUUUAGUUGCAGAAAAAUUGUGUACCUUCUUUGACAUUCUAGAUCCAGUUAUUGCAUUUUUUGGAGGAUCCACAUGAGGAACAAUUUAAAUUUAUUCACAUAUACAAUUAUUCAAAAAGGCAUCAUACUGAACACAAGCAAAAUAACUACAAAUGUUAAUAGAAAUGGAUGGAAGCAUACAGGAAGAAUAUAAAAAAGGAUUUUGAAGCCAAAAAAAUAAAAAAAAAUCAAAAUAAAUAAAAGUAUAUGGUGGCUUAUUAUUGCUCAGGCCUAAUAAUUGAUUGUACAUGUCAAUGGGCCUAAUAUUAUUGCUCCGGCCUUUAUUCUAGAUGUCCAGGCCCUGUCAUUGCCUGAGUGUGAGGUCAUGGCUCGUUCUCUGUAUAGGUAGGUUCAUCCCUUGUCCAUUUGUAUACUUUUGAUCCAUGUGGUCAAGCCAACUUGGCUAUUGGGUACUUCAGGUGCGAUACCUUCUAUCUUACUUCUUACCCAAUUGAGUGAUUUAUCUUAGACGUCAUGGGGUCAUACACCUCUAAAACUUGAGUUGGUGUACUACUACCUUUCCCAGUGCUGAUCUCUCAGAUUCUUUCAUGGGCUUGAGUUCUAGCAUUAGCUUCCUGUUCUCCCCUACCCUGGUCCUAUAGUACUAUUUAUUUUUCAAACUUGGCCCUAGAUUUUUUUUAGUGUAAAAAGUACUAUUUUGUUGAAUUUAAAAAAACUAAUAGGGAACAUAACCUUUCAAUAAGCUUAAACCUCUAUCUCUCAAAACUUUCAAAAUCCUUCUUGAAAGUCUCUUUUGGCUAAAACAAAUAUUUGAGACUCGCAUUGUAUAUGCUUUAAUAAGGGCUUUGAGGGACUCGCUAAAGAUAUAGGUGACAAUUUUGAUAUGAUACUAACACGACUUGAAAAUGAUAUAAAUUUUAAUAGAUUCAGAUUAGGUAUAACAUAUUCAUGUUGUAAACAUAUCAACUCAUAUGACCCGUUUAAUAAAAAUGUACAAUUAUCCAACCCCAUAUAGCUUGUUUACUAAUUCAUGCCAAACAAACCAAUUUAUUUAAUCAUAUCAAAAUGAUGUUUAACUCAUAUAAAAUUAUUAAUAUUAUAUUUCAAAAUUAUAAAAAAAAAAAUACUUAUUAGUUAUAAAUAUGAUAUAGUUAAAAAAUGAAGUAACUAAGUAAAAUUUUAUACAUUUCAUUGUAAAUAUUAAAAUUAUUUUAUCAUUAGAACAUUAGAUAGAAUUAUAAACAAGCGUAAAAUUCAAAUUUUAAUGUAUUUUUAUGUUAUAAACAUUUUCUAAUUUAAAUUUUAUAAUUAAAUUAGUUAAAAUUUAAAAAAUUAAAAUGCAUUUCGAAUAAUACAUUUAUAAAUUUUAAAUAGGUUAAACAUGCUAAAAUUGUAUUAACAUGUUAAACGAGUUAAAAUGGGCUAACCAUGUUAGAAUUGUAUUAGUAUGUUACACAAGUUCAAAUUGUGAUAACAUAUUAAACGGAUUAGAAUCAUGUUAAUGGGUUCAACGGCUAUUAAUAUGUUUCUUAUGUUAGAAUUGUAAUAAUAAGUUAUCUAUGUCAAUUUAUACAAAGGUUAACUUAACCCGUCUAUUAAAUCAGUUUUGUUUGAAUUAGGUCAUUUUAACACAAUUCUUAAAUAAACUGUAUUCCUAUUGAGUAAAUUUUCACUAUUUUUUAUCUUAACAUUAUACAAAUCCAACACGUACGAUAUCACUUAUUGUCACCCCUAACUAAGGAGCAUAUGAGUGUUGCAUUGAGGAACCAGAAGAAGAGUGUAAAUACUAUUUAUAAAAAACUUUAGGAAGUGGAAGCAUUCUAUCAAGUAAAGUUGUGUUAACUUUUUUUCAUAGUUAGUGGAUUAUUCAAUGGUCAAGAGACCAACUAUGGUUUUUUACGCCUAAGGAUUUCUAGGUAGGUUCCACAUUAAAUUCUAUAUCUAAUUGUAUAAUUAGAAAUAUCGUGCAUGAGAUUGAUAACAUAUUAAUCAUAAUUGAAUCAUAAUAAAAUAAUUUAACUUUGGGGUUAAUUAAUUGAACUACGUAUGUAUGGAUAUUUUAUAUUUUUUAACUUUAAAUUAAUUAUUAUGUUGGGAAAUGGAAUAAGGGAAUAGUUGGCUCCAUUUUCAAUCUUGGUAACAUAAUUUGUUGUUGACAUGUUAUUUUAUCUUAUUUUAUAUAUUUUGUAGGAUAAAAAUAUAUAAUCAAGUGCUCUUGCAUGAUUGAUUUAGAUGUUAGAAAAGGUUACAAAACAUUAAUUCUAUUUGACUGAUGACAAAAACUUUUAAUUGCCAACAAUUUUUUUUUUUAUAAACUUUAAGUUGCUAGCAUUCAUAUGUUAUCCUAAAGUUAUUAAUUAUAAUUUUAUCUAAGUUGAACCACAAUUUUUGGGUAAAUGAAGAAGUAUUUAUUGACAAGAUACUUGUUUAUAUUGGAAGUUUUUAGUUUGAUUUGUUGUUGAAUUCAAAUUCUUAGUAGCUAGCUUUGAAUACUAUCUAGUUGCAUUGGUUUUUGUUGUAAGUUCGGUUUUUAUAUUGUUUCCAGACAUGAUGUUUAUUAAUUGAGAAUGCUAAUGAUUCGAGGUUGGAAUCGAUCACUCCUUACUAAACUUAUUCUUUUAGGCUAUGUUUAGUUGGCCGAAUAUAAUAUAUAAUAGAAUAAGAGAAAUGAUAUUAUAUCAUAUUCCAUCUUUAGUUGAUGAUGAGAUAUGAUAAAUUAUUUCAUUGCUUAUUAUAUACUAUGUUUAACUAAAUAUGAGAUAUGAUAAGUGAUGAGAUAUAUUACCCACCUUUUUUAUUUUUAUUUUUAUCUCUUAUACAUGAAAUAUGUUAAUCUCAUGCUAAGAUAUAAGAAAUGCAUAUUUCAUAUAUCAUAAAUUUAUUUUUUAUCAAUUUUUUUAUAUAUUUAUUUUGUAAAAUAAUUUUUUUAUUAUAAAAUUAAAUUUAUAGUUAAAAAAGAAAAACUAAAAAAAUAUUUAUAAAUAACAUUAAUAUAUGAUAUAUAGAUUACUUUUAUGUAUUAAAUAACAUAACAUAAACAUUUUUUAUUUGUAAAAUUUAAAUAUUUUAAUCAUGACUAAUUUUAAACAUAAAAGAAAUUUCAUUUUUUUAAAUGGAAAAUAUUAGAAUGUGAUAUAAUUUUUAUUUUAAACAUUGAAAAUAAUAUAUAUAUAUAUAUAUAUAUAUAUAUAUAUAUAUAUAUAUAUAUAUAUAUAUAUAUAUAUAUAUAUAUAUCAUAUUAUUUUUAUUCAUUUCAUAAAUUAAAUAUAAAUAUAAUAUAAUAUAUCUAAUUAGAUAUGUCACAUUAGAAUAUCAUAUUCAUAUGAUAUAUAUAUUUAAGAAUAUCAUAUCCUAUUAGAAAUUAUAUUUUUAGGAUAUCAUUCUUUUUACCACAAGAGAGCAACAAUUGCUUUUAAUCGGUAAAAUUUGUAUGUGUACUAAAGUUGCACUGCCUAAUGUAAAGUGUUGGCUCCGCCACUGUGUUGCACCUCAAGCCACCACCAAGUCUCCACAUGAUGCUCUUGUAAGCCUUGAUUAUCACAUUACCUUGGUCAAUAGGCACUUAUGGGUACAAGGUGCAACCCCAUGAGACCUUAGUGCCACAUUCUCCAAGUCAAGGUGUUAAUACUCUUCUAUGCUCACAAACUUAAUUUGGUCACCAUUUAUUAACUUAUAAGUCUCUAUAACCAUAAAUAAAAUUUUAAACAUACUAUUAGAACAAGACUCUAUAUUUUGGGUUUUGAUAUCCAAUAAGAUAUGAUAUUUUAAGAAAUACAUAUUUUAUUAAAUUCUAUCCCGUCAAUGAAAUAUAACCUUAAAUGUAUUCUCAUUUUUGUUUCGCAUCUUUAUCCGAAAUCCAGGAAUUUACUUUUUUUUGUUUUAAGGUAAUUCAUUUUUAAUUUUAUUUUAUGUGUAUUAAAAAAAUAAAAGAAAAAAUAAGGAGUGACAUCAAUCAUUAUAAAGCCUGAAUCAAUCCCAAACAUACAUAAGAAGACGAUUUAAGUCUUAAAAUAAAAUCCCAAACCUACUUCUGAUUAGACUACGCGUUUUGAUGACAUUUCACUUGAAAAUAAUGCAGAGUUUUCACUUAUAUUAUAUACUGUCUGAAUUUUAUUUUUGAUUCAUUUCGAUCUAUAAACAGAAACGGAAUUCCCAGUUUUGAAGUAUCAACUUCAUUCCAACUUAUAUUUCAAGUUAAAUAAUAGAUGUUCCAUUCAGAAUUCUUGCAUUGUAUGAUGUGUAAUUCUCUUGUUCAGUUGGCUCUGAUCAGUUUUUCCUUUUGUCCUUUUAUUGCAUUUAGAGUUGGGGCUUGUUCUAGCAGUUCUGGCAACAGCCGGGUUGAUCUUCUUCAUAUAGAUUGGGGUGCUUCUGUUUUUGCUGAUUGGAGAUGUGCUGCUCUUUCUCCUUGUACUUGGUAUUCGGGUGAGAGGUGGAUUAUGUUUGCUUGCUUGCUGGUCUGAGUUUCUGAUAUGUUUUGUCACGGUGGCAUGAGUGCUGAUUCUCAGAGCAUUGAUAUUUUCAUGGUGCUGAGACUGCUGGGAAGGUUGCAGCAUCCUUUUCGUUUCUGGCUGGAAUUGGAUUCUCUGUGUUGGCUUUGCUCUCUGGUUUCUUCACCUAAUUCAACAGAGCCACAUGCUUUGGUCCAUAUACCAGACUGCUGCAUACUUCCUUGGGUUUGAUAUCCCACUGCCAAGGGUGUUGUCCAUAAUGUUAUGUUAUGUUAUGUAAACAAGUUUCAACUUUCACCCAUUGUGGAUUGAAAUGUUUAAUUUGGGAGAAAAACUGGUUGAUUUUAACAUUUGAGGUUGUUAAUGGUGAUUUUUCUUAUAAUGACUGACUGAAAAGAAUGUUGAUGAACAAGGUGGAAGUAUAAGCAGGGUUCUGAGGACUCAAAUAAAAGGGAAAACUUGGGUUCACUUCUGCAAUGGUUUUGGCACUUGGCACUAACUGAUGAAUGGAAAAGAGGUUCAGGGAUGAUGAAGUGAUCUUAUUCAACGUUGCAUUCUAAUUCCUCUCAUUUUCAUAUCUAUUUUCUACCAUGCUAUAUUCAAUAUCCAUUCUGUGAGUUGAAUGACCCAUGUUUUUAUUUUUCUAAGAAAUUCUCUAUCAUUUCAUCAUAACAUCCAGAGGAAACAUAGACAAGAAUUUCUCAUUUUUCAUUCGGGAGCAUUUAGAUCUUCCAACACCAACCUCACUGAACAUGACCGCAAAAUUCCUUCGAUUUUGGACUUAAAAUUAUGUUAGUACCCAUUGGACAAUCCAUUAGGUCACAGUUUGACCUAACUUGAUUCUUUCUUACCCAUGUCUUUUCCUUUGAAUUUUGGGGUGCCCUAUAAUUCAAGUCAAUGAAUUUGGACAAAUCAAAUCAAUUUUUUUCCCAAUUGAUGCCAAGGAAUAUCCAUAUGAUUCAAACAAUAUUUACAUUGUUUGUUUGAAUUUUGCCUAAAGUAUUCAUGAUUGUGUCCAAACAAAAUGCUUAUUAAUGACAUUAGUAAUGACACAAGUGCGUGUGUAGACCCCCAUAUGGGGCUUGGUUUUCAUGCAGCCUGUUUUGCCAAGUGUCACAAUUCCAUAAGGCCAUGUGUUGAUUUCUAGUUGGCUGCUGGGAAUCAGAGUAGUGGAAUUGGAGGACCAAUGAGAGGUCGACACGUGGCAAGAAGAUUCCAAGGAAUCUGCAGAAGCCGUUAUGGAGGAGCGUUUCUGGCAGCUGGAGAGGAGGGUGCUUUUCAGAGUUGGUUAGGAUAUACAAUCAGAGAGGCUGCAAAAAGAAAGGGAGGAAAAAUCAGACAGGAGAGUUGCAGAGAGGGAGUUUUGGAGAGCUUAGAGAGAGACAUUUCUUGGGGAGCAAGCUGGAUAUUCAGAGACUGGAGAGAAAAACGAAAGGAAAAAUCAGAAGAGAGAGGUACCUGGGCUGCUGAAGGGAUUGCCAAGGGAGUCCAGAGGGAGUUUCCAUUAGAGAGGGAGUUGAGAGCUGUUAUCGAGAUAACAGAGGAGGGUUUUUGACCAAGGGUAGAGGAAGCUGCCAGCUGCAAGAGAGAGUGAUUGCUGUUAGAGAGAGAAAGGUUCAUCUUUCUGAGGCUGGUUCCAGGAAGGAUUUGGGCAGGGAGGAGCGGAUUCCGUUAGGGGGAGCAAGCUGUGUAGAGGAGAGCUGGAGAGAGAAAAACAGAGCAUGUUUCGGGAGAGAGAGGACAGAGCAUUUUUUUAGAGUGAAACCAGAGAGAGAAACCAGAGGAGUGGGGAGGUGUUUGUGGAGAGGUAUGGGAGGAUUUGCAGGGGGCAGGCUGGUGACAGAGGGGAGAGCUUGAAGGUGAAGUUUCGUUGAAGGGGAGGCAAACUAGCAGGAGAGGAGGUUUUUCUGGAGUUUUGAGAGGAAGACAGGCGCAGAAAGGCGCAGAGGAGUCAUUUUGGAAGAAGACGUUUUAGCGCGUUACGGCUCGUGGCCCAGGUACGCACUCUCUAUACCUAUUCUGUUUUUUAUAAGUGCAAGAUUGAUUUGAGUAUCCAUUGUUUUUCCCAUUGAUUGUCAUGUCAGCUUCAUUUUAUUAGUAGAGACCCGACUUUAGGGAUUUAGAGGGGUGCUACGGUCUUUACCGUACCUUCCCGAUAAGUAACCUGACCCCCGAACCCGAUCCGGUUUUUCACAGACCGCCUUUUCCAAAAUAAGGAGUCACACUUAGGGUUUUUCUUUCUUAUUUUGUUUACCUUUUAAAAAUAAAACAAAAAUAAGUGGCGACUCCAAAUCAUUUUCAAAUAAUCAAUAAAAAUCAAUUUUUCAAAUAAAAAUCAAGCUCGACAUCGAGUGGGAAACGCAUCGAGCAAUCGAAAUGCGGGGUCCACAGCGUGGUUUUGACAUUUUCAAUAUUUGCAUUCCCAUUACUAAUUUUUGUUUCCCCAUUUUUUUUUUUUUCAUUUUUUGUUUGUUUUGGACUGGUGCUUCCUUCCUCAUUCAUUCUACUUUCGUUUUUUGAAAAACAUUUGUCUCUUUUGCACACAUCCUAAAAAGCCCAAAAGCAUUUUUUUUAACUUAAGCUUUUUUUUCAAUUUAUCUUAAAAUGAAAAUAAAAAAUACAAUUUUCUUAUUGAAGUGUUAUUUUGAUUUAUAGAUAAAGUUAUUUCAUAUUUUAUAAAUCUUUUACUCUAUUUAUUUUGUUCUUUGCAAAUUAUAAUUUGGCUCACUUCAACUUUGAAACAAAAUCAGAAUAAAAAAAAUUAUAGCAAAUUAUGUUUUAAUCUGCUUUCCAAGUGGAAAAUACAAAUAAUGCAACCCGUAUCUGCAUAAAAUUAGUGCAUGUAACAUUACUUUUCAAUGGACUUGAAAAAAUAUUUUAAAACCAACAACUCCAAAAGUCAAUGGUCUCAAUAAUCUAGUGUAAUAGGUUUCCAAAAGAUGAAGGGUGUGAAGAUCCCUAAAAUGUUUUUGAGUGUAAGUGUUUCCAAAAGAUAUAAGCAAGUACGAAUUUCUUUAAAAUGUUUUUCAAUUGUUUUUUUACAUGGUUAUUUAAGUUGCUUAAUAAUAAAUCGUUUUCUAAUUUCUGUAUGAAUUAAAUAUUAUUAUUUUUCUAAAAUAAGAAGUAUGUUUAAUAAUUAAUUUAUCUAAGUAAUAAUAAUGACCAACAACCUUUUAGACCUAGUCUUUCAAUCGACUGAUUUAUUUUCUAGGUAUAAAUUAUCGGGAAGUAAAAUACAUGUAUUGAUGGAUUAAUUAAAGGGAGAGUUAAACCUUCUAAGACACUACCCAUCUCACUUGAGAAUGGAAAAUUGAAUGGCUACAAAUACAUCCUUAUUUCCCUCUUUCCACAAAAAUGGUCUUCCAUAUCCUCUUAUCAAUUUCACUUCAAUUAUCCUUAAAAAAAUCACUUCACAACUUCAAAGAUUUGUUAGUAAAAUUAUAAAAGUACUAACAUGUCACUUGAGUAAAAAAGACAUGAUUAAUAUCCAAAAAAUGAAACAUAUACCAUAUUUAUCAUCUAAAUUAUGUACUUCUUAAAUAGUAAUUACAUGUUACAUAAGAUAGAAUCAUGUUAACAUAUUAAACGGAUUAGAAUCAUGCUAUCUGGUUUAACGAAUGUUAAUAGGUAUAAUAGGUUAGAAUCGAAUUAACGGGGGUUACCUAUGUUAAUUCAUAUAAAGGUCAACUUAACCUAUUUAUUAAAUUAGUUAUGUUUAUAUCAAGUUAUUUUAACAUGAUGUUUAAACAAAUCAUAUUCCAUUUGAGUAAAUUUUCACUAGUUUUUAUCUUGACGCAAUACAAAUCCAACAUAAUAUGACCCAUUAUCACCCUAAUUAAGGAGCAUACGAGUGUUGCAUUAAGGAAGUGGAAGAAGAGCAUAGAUACUAAUGAUAUCAAAUUUUAGGGAGUGGAAGCAUUUAAUCAAGUAAAGUUGUGUAACUUUUUUUUCAUAAGUAGUGAAUUAUUCAAUUGUCAAGAGACCAACCAUAGUUUUUUUUACACCUAGGGAUUUCUAGGUGGUUUCCACAUUAAAUUCUAUGUCGAAUUGUGUAAUUGGAAAUCUCAUGCAUGAGAUUGAUAAGAUAUUGAUGAUAAUUGAGUUGGAAUAAAAUAAUUUAACUUUGAGGGGUUAAUUGCUUGGACUACCUAUUUACCCCUCCCGUAAGAAGUUCCAUAUCAACAAAAAAGUUCUUUCAAUAUGUAUAUAGAUAUUUUAUAUUUUCUAAUUUUAAAUUUAUUUUUAUAUUGGGAAAUUGAAUAAUUGAAUGGGGAAAUAGUUGGUUCAAUUUUCAAGCUUGGAAACAAAAUUUGUUGUUAACAUGUUAUUUUACCUUAUUUUAUACAUUUUUUUUUGAAUACAAAUAUAUAAUCAAGUGCUCUUGUAUGAUUGAUUUAGAUGUUAGCAAAGGUUACAAUCAUUAAUUCUAUUAAUUGACCAACAAUUUUUUAUAAACUUUAAGUUGCUAGCAUUCAUAUAUCAUCCUAAAAUUAUUAAUUAUAAUUUUAUUUAAGUUGAACCACAAAUCUUGGGUAAAUGAAGAAGAAUUUGUUAACAAGAUACUUGUUUAUAUCGGAAGUUUUUAGUUUGAUUUGUUGUUGUUGAAUUCAAAUUCCUAGAAGCUAGCUUUGAGGACUAGCUAGUUGCCUUGGUUUUUGUUAUAUGUUUGAUUUUUAUAUUGUUUUCAGACAUGAUGUGUAAAAUGGAUUAAUGGUAAUGAUGUUGAAACAUGGCUAAUACUAUUAGACCAAUGUUGAAGAGAGUGCCUUUGCUGAGCUGCAUCUGGAGCAAGCUCCAUGACAAGCUCCAUUUACUCCGAAGUAUUGCUUCACAACCUCUCUUUGUGUAUUAUAAAGUUGUGAGUAGAAUUAUUAAAGUUGUUUAAACAAGUGGCAAUCUUGAUAUGCCAGAAUGACACCAUUAGAAAAUUAUAUAAAUUUUAGUAGGUUCAGGUAAGUUGUAAUUAUAUCAGAGUAAUAAUCUUGUCAACUUGCAUAACUCAUUUAAAUGAUUUAAAUAUAUUUAUGAGUGGCAUUUGCAUUGCCUAAUUAUAGUUCUUAUUAGAGAAUGAGUUACUAUCAAUUUUAUGGAAUGAAACUAUAAUUAGUCGGUAUUACUUCAAAGUGAAAUCUUACUCAUAAAAUUUUUCAAUUAAAUUCAAAAGUUAAAAUUAUAAAGUAGAGAAUUAAAAGAACCAUUGAGCAUAGUUUAAAAUUUGAAUAUUAUACGUUUAUUAUUGUAAUGCAAGCCCAAUAUUUAUUAUUUAUUAUUAAAAAUAUAAUUUUAUAUCUAAUUUUUAUAUUUAAGAUAAUUUAGCACAUUUGAACAAUGCUUUGAGAAUAAGAUUGAAGCAUCUAAUUUGACUAAUUGGAUACAAAUCAAACUAAUCCAGUCUUAUUUUUCGUAUUUAUCCACCUUCAAUUAUAAGAUAAACAUAAACAAAAGUCUUUAUAUGAUUAUAACAAUAUAAACACUAAAAUAAUGAGUUUAACAUUAAAUAACAAAAAAUUUAUUUCAAUCUUUGACAUAUUGUUAUAUAAGUUAUAUAUAUGUUAGUAAAAUAAGAAAUAUUAAUAUAUUUAAAAUAUUAAUUAAUAAAAUCACAAUUUUUUGUUAUUGUUAAUAUUUAAUUAAUAAAUUCUAAUUAAAUCUAAAAUAAAAACUUUACACAAAUUAGUAUAAAACCAAAUAUGAUCGCCAUAUUUGUAUUUUAAAUGAGAAACAAAUGUUAAAAGAUAUAAAAAAGAAAAAAAACUCAUUGUCUAGUAUUUUAAUUAUUUAUAUAAUUUUAACUUCUUGUAUUAUUUUAAAUUUUAAUAAUAUAUGAAUUAUAUAUGCAUAUUGCCAUGCUGAUAUCAUGUUUCAAUUACUUGAAUCACCAGUUCAAUUAAGAAACUCUAAUGCAAUAAUUUUUCAAUUCAAUAACUAAUUAAUAAGAUUUUCAAAAUAUUGUAUUUAAAAACUCGUCACAAAAAAUGAAUAUAAAAGAUCAUGAAAUUCUUGCAAAGAAAACUAACCUCAUGAAAAUAUAGAAACCCCAAACCUUAAUUUUUUCAAUAAUACUAAUCAAAGUUCUUCUUGUGUUUAGGCAUAUUAGGAGAGAACCAAUAAUCUCAUCCGCAAAUCAAGCAUAGUCAAUAGUCAAUUCUUAUGUUUAGGAGUAAUAUAUAUAUAUAUAGAAAGUCAUUUAUAUAUUUAAAUGUUGUAAUGUAUAUCUUGAAACUCAAUAAGAAAGGGCUUCUUUUCUUUCCUAGUUCUUAUAGUUUAUAGAUUACCUCGGCAAAAAGGAAAAUGAGAGCUAGAGCUUGAAUCAAACAGUCCAAUCGCAAUCAUUCCUAUUAUUGUCUGACGCACUCCUGCUUUGAACCUUAACGUAUUGAUAAAAAAUCCCUUUCUCAUUUUAGACUAGGGCUUCUCUCUAUAAAUAAGGGAAUUUCUCCGCUUCAGAUGAUGUCUCAUUGGGCCCUUCGAAUGCAUUGUUUUCAUGGUCGGUAGGAGAGAGCCUUCUAUACUUUUGGUCAUUCAUUCAUUCAUCCAUUCAUCUUAUACUCUUGUUAAGAAAAGUGACUUCAUGAAAAUAUAUAUGGAAACCUCAAACCUUAACUUCUUCAAUAAUGCCUAUUAAAAUUUUUGCAAUUGAAGGUUGUGUAAUCGAGGAUGAUAAUGAUGCAAGGUUUAGAACUAGUCACUUCUAACCAAACUUAUUCUUAUACGUAUUCCCCUCUUCAUCUCAAGUCUGGGAGUUUACUUUUCUAUUUUAAGAAAAUUAAUCAUUAUUUUUAUUUUACAUGUAUUGAAAAAGGCAAAAAAAAAAAAAUUAAGAUUGAGCGAUAUGAAUCUCCGUAAAACCAGAAUCAAUCACAACAUAUAUGUGAGAAGAAAAUUUAAAAGUGUGUUUGACAAUAUUUCAUUUUGAAGUGUUUUUAAUUUUAAUGAAAAUAUUUUUUUUAAAAGUGAUUUUGAGAGAAUCAUCUAUUAAAUGUUUUUUUAAAAAGCACCAUAAAUAAUUUUUUAUUUGUUUAAAACUAUUUAAUAAAUUUGAUUAAAUACUUGAUUUUUCUUCAAAAAUAUUUUUUAAAGCUAGAAGUUCUUUUUGAAAAACAACAUCAAAUGGACGUAAGUCUUAAAAUAAAAUCCCAAAUCUACCAUUGAUUUAAUUAUACUUUUCAAAUCCAUCCUAUGGGCCUAGGCAACCUUGAAAUACCCAUCCCUAUUAUAAUACAAAAGCAAACCACCACUAAGGAUAUUUAAACAACAUUUUAAAGACAAUCGAAACCUAUCAAUGAGUCUUUGUCUUAUAAUACAAAUUUCGUUAUGUUCACAUGUAGAAAGGGACAAGUAAUACAUAAAAACUAAAAAUCAUAUACAAUAGAAAGCUUGGAAUCAAGAGGGAAGAGAGUAGAAAGUUACGAAGUGGUGGAGCCUUGGGUAAAAUAAAAUUAACAAUGGCAUUAUCAUGUGCGUGUCUCAUCGCUUGAUGGGUUAUAACUAGAGCCCACUUGAUGCUUAGAAAAAUAUAUUUGCAGGUGGUCUCCAUCUGUCAAUUGAUUAAUCUAUACAAUAUUAAAAAUCCACUUGAUGUUAAUUUAGGAAAAUUAUUUUAUUUUGUUGGUGAUGGCCUGUCUCCCAUCUUCUUCAAGUUUCAACUCUGGACUUCUCAAAUUUGCAAAGUGCAGUGCAGUGAUUCAUCUUUCUUAUUUGUUCCAUCUUUGGCCGAAUUCUAGUCAUUUUUUCUGUUACUUCCGGAAAGCAAUCUUGGGUCUUGUCCCAUCAAAAAUCAAAGCAACCAGCUACUAGGCAUUUGAAUUCAAGAACAACAAAUCAAACUAAAAAACUUUAUGUACAAAUAAGUAUCUUAUUAACAAAUACUUCUUCGUUUAUCGACGAUUUGUGGUUCAACUUAAAUAAAAUUAUUAUUAAUAAUUUUAAGAUAAUAUAUGAAUGCUAGAAUUGUUGGUCAAUUAAUAUAAUUAAUGUGUGAUGAGGUAUAGCACUAUAAAAAUAACUAAAAGAAUAAUCAAAUUUACCCCAUUUCAAUUGGGAAGAGCAAAAUAAACUUUAUUUCACAUUAGAAGACAUUUUGCAAAAAAGUUCAAUAUUUACUAAUAACAAAAUAUAAAAGUCAAUAUAGUUGAGAAACAAGGAAAUUUAAGGAUUUUAGUGUUAAAUCCUUUAUAUGAUGAUAAGAUAUUCUUAGAAAAAGCAAAAUGUAAUAGCAUCUCCUUUAUUUAUUUAUUUUCUUUCAAAAAAAUGUUAUAAAUUGUACAAGUUAUAUGAAUAAUUCAAAUUUUGGCAAUAAAAAUACAAUUCAAUGCCACCGUGACCAAUCAGAAUUGUUUAAAAAAUAAUGUAAAGCAUAAUGUAGUGGUGAUGAAUGCAAGCAUAAAACCAUUGUGGAGCCAAGAUUCAAGGGGCAUCAAUGGAGGAAAAAUAUUAAAGAAAUGGAGGAGGGUGUAUGCAUAGAAUUAUCAUGGACACAGUGCGGGGGGCCCAUCUCUUUCCUAAAAGGAAGACAGAAUAAUUAAGCGACCCAGCUUCUCUUAUGAUGGGAUAUUGCAUCAGGUUAACUUCACCCCAGUCUCAGUCUCUUUGAAUUACCAAACCCUAGUCUCUUCUCUCUUUACUGCUAAUCCUCAUCUCUUUUCCUCUUUCUGUGCUCUCCGGAAACUUUUGUAGAUGGUGGCAUAGCUGCCUAUACUGAAGUUUUAACUCCGGAGUUUUUGAUUGAUAAGGGCAGUGAUUCAUCUGCUCCCUGUAUUGCAAACUAUCCCCUCUUUCUUCUAUCUUUGGCUCAACUUCAGUCCUUUUUUCCUUUGAUUUCCCGAAAGCUAUGGAGUUCCUGAGCUCAAUCGUGGGUCUGAUCCCCUGCUUCUAUGAUCACACCUCCAAGCAUACGGUCUACAUUCGUGAUCUAAACAAAAAUCUCCAAGCCUUGAGGAAGGAAAUGGCGAAGCUCAACAACUUGUAUGAAGAUGUGAAGGCAAAGGUUGAACGUGCAGAGGAAC
rnacentral:lncRNA from 1 species